rnacentral:rRNA from 1 species
UACGGGGGGAGCAAGCGUUGUUCGGAUUUACUGGGCGUAAAGGGCGCGUAGGCGGUCGUGACAAGUCACUUGUGAAAUCUCCGGGCUUAACUCGGAACGGUCAAGUGAUACUGUCGGACUAGAGUACAGAAGGGGCAACUGGAAUUCUCGGUGUAGCGGUGAAAUGCGUAGAUAUCGAGAGGAACACCUGCGGCGAAGGCGGGUUGCUGGGCUGAUACUGACGUGAGGCGCGAAAGCCAGGGAGCGAACGGG